GAGGGUAUAGCUCAGUGGUAGAGCACAUGCUUACCAUGUAUGAGGCCCUGGGUUCAAUUCCCAGUACUUCCU
rnacentral:tRNA from 1 species